GACGAACGCUGGCGGCGUGCUUAACACAUGCAAGUCGAACGGGCCUUGUCCCCUUUUUUUUGGGGGUGGGGUUAGUGGCGAACGGGUGAGUAACACGUGAGUAACCUGCCCCUCACUUCUGGAUAACCGCUUGAAAGGGUGGCUAAUUCGGGGUGUUCUGGCCUGCUCGCAUGGGUGGGUUUGGAAAGAUUCGACCGGUUUUGGUUGUUUUGGUGGGGGAUGGGCUCGCGGCCUAUCAGCUUGUUGGUGGGGUGAUGGCCUGCCAAGGCUUUGACGGGUAGCCGGCCUGAGAGGGUGGGCGGUCACACUGGGACUGAGACACGGCCCAGACUCCUACGGGAGGCAGCAGUGGGGAAUAUUGCACAAUGGGCGCAAGCCUGAUGCAGCGACGCCGCGUGAGGGAUGGAGGCCUUCGGGUUGUGAACCUCUUUCGCCAGUGAAGAAGGUCCUGCUCUUUGUGGUGGGGUUGACGGUAGCUGGGUUAAUGAAGCGCCGGCUAACUACGCG
rnacentral:rRNA from 1 species